GAAAGGUCGAUCAACAUUGAGGUCAAAACUAGAACUUCCAGUGCAGGCGGUACUCAAUUUGCAAGUCCCUGUGGAGCACUCUAAGGAAGUCAAUGAUUGCAAGCAUCUGAUUAAAACUUUGGUUAUGGGAAUGAAAACCAUAAUAUGGAGCAUCACCCAUGCACAUUUGCCUCGAUCACAGGUUUCGGCUUCCACUCAGGGGACGCCUCCUCAAGUUCUUUCCUCAGCCUCGACUAGUUCAUCAGUACCUCAACCUUUUAAAGGAAUGAGAGAAGACGAGGUUUGGAAAGCUUCCGGUGUGCUUAAAAGUGGUGUUCAUUGCUUGGCAUUAUUCAAGGAGAAGGAGGAAGAGAGAGAAAUGAUCCAUCUUUUUUCCCAGAUUUUGGCUAUUAUGGAACCACGGGAUCUAAUGGACAUGUUCUCCUUGUGCAUGCCUGAAUUGUUU
rnacentral:misc_RNA from 1 species